rnacentral:rRNA from 1 species
AUUGAACGCUGGCGGCAGGCCUAACACAUGCAAGUCGAGCGGGGUUUUCGGACCUAGCGGCGGAUGGGUGAGUAAUGCGUAGGAAGCUACCCGAUAGAGGGGGAUACCAGUUGGAAACGACUGUUAAUACCGCAUAAUGUCUACGGACCAAAGUGUGGGACCUUCGGGCUACAUGCUAUCGGAUGCGCCUACGUGGGAUUAGCUAGUUGGUGGGGUAAUGGCUCACCAAGGCGACGAUCCCUAGCUGGUUUGAGAGGAUGAUCAGCCACACUGGAACUGAGACACGGUCCAGACUCCUACGGGAGGCAGCAGUGGGGAAUAUUGGACAAUGGGCGCAAGCCUGAUCCAGCCAUGCCGCGUGUGUGAAGAAGGCCUUCGGGUUGUAAAGCACUUUCAGUAGGGAGGAAGAGUUGAGUGUUAAUAGUACUCAGCUUUGACGUUACCUACAGAAGAAGCACCGGCUAACUCUGUGCCAGCCGCCGCGGUAAUAC